AUUGAACGCUGGCGGCAGGCCUAACACAUGCAAGUCGAGCGGCGUGGCGAACGGGUGAGUAAUGCCUAGGAAUCUGCCCGGUAGUGGGGGAUAACGUCCGGAAACGGGCGCUAAUACCGCAUACUAGCAGAUGAGCCUAGGUCGGAUUAGCUAGUUGGUGGGGUAAAGGCCUACCAAGGCGACGAUCCGUAACUGGUCUGCGUGGAUGCCCAGUCACACUGGGACGGAGACACGGUCCAGACUACUACGGUAGGCAGCAGUGGUGAAUAUUGCACAAUGGGUGAAAGACUUAUCCAGCCAUGCCGCGUGUGGUAGGAAGGUCUUCGGAUUGUAAAGCGCGGUAGGGUGGGAAGCGGUACCAACAGAGUAAGCACCGGCUAAGUUCGUGCCAGCAGCCGCGGUAAUAC
rnacentral:rRNA from 1 species